GAUGAACGCUGGCGGCGUGCCUAAUACAUGCAAGUCGAGCGAACAGACGAGGAGCUUGCUCCUCUGACGUUAGCGGCGGACGGGUGAGUAACACGUGGAUAACCUACCUAUAAGACUGGGAUAACUUCGGGAAACCGGAGCUAAUACCGGAUAAUAUAUUGAACCGCAUGGUUCAAUAGUGAAAGACGGUUUUGCUGUCACUUAUAGAUGGAUCCGCGCCGCAUUAGCUAGUUGGUAAGGUAACGGCUUACCAAGGCAACGAUGCGUAGCCGACCUGAGAGGGUGAUCGGCCACACUGGAACUGAGACACGGUCCAGACUCCUACGGGAGGCAGCAGUAGGGAAUCUUCCGCAAAGGGCGAAAGCCUGAUGGAGCAACGCCGCGUGAGUGAUGAAGGUCUUCGGAUCGUAAAACUCUGUUAUUAGGGAAGAACAAAUGUGUAAGUAACUAUGCACGUCUUGACGGUACCUAAUCAGAAAGCCACGGCUAACUACGUG
rnacentral:rRNA from 1 species